rnacentral:rRNA from 1 species
UACGGAGGGUGCAAGCGUUAUCCGGAUUCACUGGGUUUAAAGGGUGCGUAGGUGGGCUAGUAAGUCAGUGGUGAAAUCUCCGGGCUUAACCCGGAAACUGCCAUUGAUACUAUUAGUCUUGAAUACCAUGGAGGUGAGCGGAAUAUGUCAUGUAGCGGUGAAAUGCUUAGAUAUGACAUAGGACACCAAUUGCGAAGGCAGCUCGCUACGCGGUUAUUGACACUGAGGCACGAAAGCGUGGGGAUCAAACAGG